UACGUAGGGGGCAAGCGUUGUCCGGAAUCAUUGGGCGUAAAGCGCGUGUAGGCGGUUCGGUAAGUCGGCUGUGAAAGUCCAGGGCUCAACCCUCGAAUGCCGGUGGAUACUGUCGGGCUAGAGUGCGGAAGAGGCGAGUGGAAUUCCUGGUGUAGCGGUGAAAUGCGCAGAUAUCAGGAGGAACACCUAUUGCGAAGGCAGCUCGCUGGGACGUAACUGACGCUGAGACGCGAAAGCGUGGGGAGCAAACAGG
rnacentral:rRNA from 1 species